rnacentral:lncRNA from 1 species
ACUGAAGCUCAAGGGAAAAUUUUAUAGGACGGCAAUAAGGCCGGCGAUGCUGUAUGGCACAGAAUGUUGGGCGGUGAAACAUCAACACGUACACAAAAUGGGUGUAGCGGAGAUGAGGAUGCUUUGUUGAAUCUGUGGGCACACGAGAAAGGAUAAGAUUAGGAAUGAGGAUAUCCGGGGUAAAGUAGGAGCAGCCGAAAUUGAAGGAAAGAUGAGAGAAAAUCGGUUACGGUGGUUUGGACAUGUGCAAAGAAGGCCUACUGACGCUCCGAUUAGAAGAUGCGACUAUGGGACAGAGGUUCAGGGCCGAAGGGGUAGAGGAAGACCUAGGAAAACUUUGGUAGAGACUCUAAGAAAAGACUUAGAGUACUUGGAUCUAACGAAGGACAUGACACAGGAUCGAGCUACAAAUAUGUACAUAUACAUGAGUUAAAAUAAACACACAAGAGGGAGCCUUCACAAAGGUUGCUUAGGAGAAGUCUCAGCAGUCGGUAGAGCCCCAGAAAGAGAAGGCACCGGAGGGGGAUCAUUUGGAGCCUCAGUACUGGACAGAACCCUAGAAGGAGGAGGCAUCAGAGGUUGAUCAUUUGGAGCUUCAUUACGCGGUACAGCCCCAGAAGACGAAGGCAAUAAAUGCCUUUGGAACAAACCCACAAAUCUCUGAUGAUCAAGUAAAACCUGACCAUCAGUUUCCUUCAUCUGGUCAAGCUUCCUCUUCAUGUUUGUAGCAUAGUCAUGUGCGAGCCGGUGCAACUGUUUAUUCUCAUGCUUGAGCCCUCUAAUCUCCUGUUCGAGACUCAUCACUUCAGCCGCCAAUGAUUCAACUUGGCGGGUUCGAGCAAAUAGGCGUUGGGCCAUAUUAGACACAGAACCUGCACACUGAACACUGAGAGCCAGCGAAUCCUUAACAGCUAACUCAUCAGACCGUUUGGAAAGUAGUCUAUUAUAUUUGGGAGUGAGAAGGUUCCUGGCCACCACCGUAGCGGUCAUAUCAUUCUUCAUCACGGAAUCCCCAACGGUAAGAGGACCAGUAGGGGAGACGAAGGAUGAGCGCCAUAUGUUGUCUGGAGAAGGCGGGGCUGCCUCUUCAACAAGGUUCAAGUCAAAACGACGGUCGGAGGGGCCAGACAUUUUCAAAGGUGUUGAAGAGAGAAGAGGUCGGACAAAUCAAGAUCUUAGAAGUGCAAGAAUGAAGCUUCUACUGGUGGAGAUUCAAGUGUGCUUUGGAACUUAAUGCCAGCCCCUAUAAAAAUCUGCACUCGACAGAGCUUCAGGAAUCGAAGAGGCGCCUGCUCAGAAAUCGAAGAGGCGUUUGCUUUCUCAAAAGCUGGGCUGCUUAGAGAUCACGAGGGUUGAUCUCAGAAAUCGAAAAGGCGUUUGCUUUCUCAAAAGUUGGGCUGCUCAAAGACCACGAAGGCUGAUCUCAGAAAUCGAAGAGGCGCUCGCUUUCUCAAAAGUUGGGCUCCCCAGAGACCACGAAGGCCGAUCUCAGAAAUCGAAGAGGCACUUACUUUUCCAGCCUUGUCAGCACCUGUCACACGCACACUCAGCUUUGCGGAAAUUAUGGGCAUUCUGUCGAAGACUUCUGGGGAAGUAGAAAACACAUGAAUCUUACUGUUCAAUCACCCACUUCCCACACGCAACAAUAGCUCAUGGGUACCACAGAAAACUUUGCCAAAGUUCUCUGCCAAAGUUGAGCACGUGAAGCUUGCAGCUCCCACUACAUCGCUCUGACCAAGAAGGGUAAAAGAAUAGCAAAGAAACAGCACUAACAAAGUUUAGACCCAUAAAUUUUGAAGGUCUAGCUACCAUAUUAUUACCCACAAGGGUAAAGGAACAGUACCACUGCUGGAUAAUUGGAAAGUCCCUGUGUGUCAACCUCUGUGCUUCGUGGCAAGGUAGACUAGCAAACAUGUCCAACCUUUACUCACAUUCGAGAAAACACUCCCAACAAGAUUGCUUGCUCCAAAAUCGAAGAGGCACCGUCCUCCGAAUCUCGAGAGCCAGACUCCCAACAUGACUACUUUCUCAAAAUCGAAGAGAGGGUAAAGGAACAGUACCAUUGCUGGAUAAUUGGAAAGUCCCUGUGUGUCAACCUUUAUGCUUCCUGGCAAGGUAGACUAACAAACAUGUCCAACCUUUACUCACAUUCGAGACAACACUCCCAACAAGAUUGCUUGCUCCAAAAUCGAAGAGGCACCGCCCUCCAAAUCUCGAGAGCCAGACUCCCAACAUGAUUACCUCCUAAAAAAUCGAAGAGACACUGCUCUCCGAAUCUCGAGAGCCAGACCCCCAGCAUGAUUGCUUUCUCAAAAAUCGAUGAGGCAUCGUUCUCCGAAUCAAUCGAAGAGGCGCUCGCUUUCUCAAAAGCUGGGCUGCUCAGAGACCACGAGGGCCGAUCUCAGAAAUCGAAGAGGCACCUACUUUUCUAGCCUUGUCAGCACCUGUCACACGCACACUCAGCUUUGCAGAAAUUAUGGGCAUUCUGUCGAAGACUUCUGGUGAAGUAGAAAGCACAUGAAUCUUACUGUUCAAUCACCCACUUCCCACACGCAACAAUAGCUCAUGGGUACCACAUAUAACUUUGCCAAAGGUCUCUGCAAAAGUUGAGCACGUGAAGCUUGCAGCUCCCACUACAUCGCUCUGACCAAGAAAGGUAAAAGAAUAGCAAAGAAACAGCACUAACAAAGUUUAGACACAUAAAUUUUGAAGGUCUAGCUACCAUAUUAUUACCCACAAGGGUAAAGGAACAGUACCACUGCUGGAUAAUUGGAAAGUCCCUGUGUGUCAACCUCUGUGCUUCGUGGCAAGGUAGACUAGCAAACAUGCCCAACCUUUACUCACAUUCGAGAAAACACUCCCAACAAGAUUGCUUGCUCCAAAAUCGAAAAGGCACCGUCCUCCGAAUCUCGAGAGCCAGACUCCCAACAUGACUACUUUCUCAAAAUCGAAGAGAGGGUAAAGGAACAGUACCAUUGCUGGAUAAUUGGAAAGUCCCUGUGUGUCAACCUUUAUGCUUCGUGGCAAGGUAGACUAGCAAACAUGUCCAACCUUUACUCACAUUCGAGACAACACUCCCAACAAGAUUGCUUGCUCCAAAAUCGAAGAGGCACCGCCCUCCGAAUCUCGAGAGCCAGACUCCCAACAUGAUUACCUCCUAAAAAAUCGAAGAGACACUGCUCUCCGAAUCUCGAGAGCCAGACCCCCAGCAUGAUUGCUUUCUCAAAAAUCGAAUAGGCAUCGUUCUCCGAAUCUCGAGAGCCAGAUACCACAUACCACUUUUUCAAAGUGCUCUGACAGAGUUAAAACAUGUGAAACUGGCAGCUCCCACUACCGUGCUAUGACCAAGCAGGGUAAAGGAAUAGCAUUACUACUUGUUAGGGAGACUCCUAUAUAUGUCGACCUCCAUCCCCAACGGACAGGCAGACCUACAAAAAUGCUCAACCCUUCAUCAUAUCUGAGAGGGCACUCCCAACGAAGCUUUUCGAAAUAUUCAGCUUUCUUUCCCCCCGAUAAUACCUCUGCAAACAAGCUAUACUAGAGCAAGAAUAUCUCAUAUCAUCAGGGUUAAAAGCAAGAGUAUCCCAUAUCAUGCUUUUUCCCUGUCUUUUCCUUUGGCCUUGUUUUUACCUGCAAGACAAGGAGAAAGAGAGCAAUCAGUCAGCACUUGGAAUCAAGCUUCCAGCCAGGAACUGACUGCCUGGAACCCCUUACCUGAUUACUUACCUGGCAUUGCUCUCGAGUACUCAUCUUCAACAUCUUAUGUUUCCAGGGAAGAUUCCGCAUCUGCUUGAGGAACAGAUAGGGCAAGUGCGAAGGAUACAAGGAAGCAUGUGGAGACAAGCGUAACAGCACACGUGCCGAUACAUCCAUUACUCUGUCAAAAGCAAAAGUAUCCCAUAUCAGUAGGGUGGAGCGUACUCUAGAUUUGAUGGACUUGUUUUGACCCUCAAAUUCUUCAGUCGGCCUUAUACUCUGGAGGAAACCAGAAAACCCUCCAGCUCAGUUCAAGAAUAAGUCUGUGGAAAGUUACUUCUUCAAAAGCAAAAGUAUCUCAUAUCAUCUCUUCUCAUUUUUCUUCUCUUUAUCCUUCAUGCUUCUGCAAGAUGGGGAGAAGGUGAACAAUCAGUCGGAGCUCUGAUUGCUUACCUUGUCUGUCACCUCUUUCAGCAGACCCCCUAGCUCGGCGACUUGGGGGACUCCUACUACAUGGUUUGUAUCGCGCUUGACCAAGCCUGAAACUACAAGUAAGCUUCAAGUGAAAUUGAUACAUUACCUUGUGCAUCUCCACCAGUUAAAGAUACCACCCCUGGAUGGAGGAAAAGUACUUCCAGAGAAGAUGCCACAUCUACCUAUGAGACAGAUAAGGCAAGUCAAGACGACACCACACUCCGAUACUUAGAAGUUUCGUGAUUACGAGAUCAUUCUCCCACAAUAUUUUCUAAUGUCAUUUGUACUAAAUCAUUCACUUGUACUCACUAAAUGAGAGCUUGAACCUAUGUACUUGUGUAAACCCUUCACAAUUAAUGAGAACUCUUCUAUUCCGUGGACGUAGCCAAUCUGGGUGAACCACGUACAUCUUGUGUUUGUUUUCCUAUCUCUAUCCAUUUAUAUACUUAUCCACACUAAUGACCGGAGCAAUCUAGCGAAGAUCACAAAAAGCGACUGUUUUCGCUACCUAGGAUCUAUCUUGCAAGAGAACGGAGAAUUAGAUGGAGAUCUCAACCAUAGAAUACGAGCUGGAUGGAUGAAGUGUAAGAAUGCAUCCGGCGUGUUGUGUGACCGUCGUAGGCCACUAAAGCUCAAGGGAAAAUUUUAUAGGACGACAAUAAGGCCAGCGAUGUUGUAUGGCACAGAAUGUUGGGCGGUGAAGCAUCAACACGUACACAAAAUGGGUGUAGCGGAGAUGAGGAUGCUUCGUGGGAUGUGUGGGCACACGAGAAAGGAUAAGAUUGGGAAUGAGGAUAUCCGAGGUAAAGUAGGAGUAGCCGAAAUUGUAGGAAAGAUGAGAGAAAAUCGGCUCCGGUGAUUUGGACAUGUGCAAAGAAGGCCGAAUGACGCUCCGGUUCGAAGAUGUGACUACGGGACAGAGGUUCAGGGCCGAAGGGGUAAAGGAAGACCUAGGAAAACUUUGGAAGAGACUCUAAGAAAAGACUUAAAGUACUUGGAUCUAACGGAGGACAUGACACAAAACCGAGCGCAAUGGCGUUCUAGGAUUCAUAUAGCCGACCCCACUUAGUGGGAAAAGGCUUUGUUGUU